UGGGCUGGUUUGGACUCUCAUGGCAGAGGCAGGGUUCCAAAAGGGUGAGCAGAAGCAUUCAGGGUCUAGUGUGUAGAUUAAUUAUAAAUAUGGUCCCAAGGAGUUCUCAUCAUGGCUCAGUGGUAACAAACCCGACUAGUAUCCAUGAGGAAUCGAGUUUGACUCCUGGCCUCGCUCAAUGGGUUAAAGAUCUGCUGUUGCUGUGAGCUGUAGUGUAGGUCACAGACACGGCUCAGGCGCCACAUUGCUGUGUCUCUGGCGUAGGCCAGCAUCUAUAGCUCUGAUUUGACCUUAGCUUGGGAACUUCCAUAUGCUGCGAGUGUGGUCCUAAAGAUACAAAAAUCAAUCAAUCAGUGUGGUCCCAAGUAUCUAUUUAUACUUAGCCACACUCUUUAAAAUGUGAAUUCCCUGCUCCUUUUCAUCAAGAAAUAAAUUCUGUUUCUCUACCUCUUGAAUCUAAAUUGCCUUUAGGAAUUAACUUGGAAAACAGAAUGAGUAAAUGUGACAUUGUUCUAAUUCCAAGCCUAGAGAUUAAGAGGCUGAUCAUGCUUCUGCUAGCUCUCUUGAAAACCUGCUACUACCAUGUGAAAAGUCUGGGCUUGCCUUCUGGAUGAUGAAUUUACUCUGCCAAGAUCAGUCAGGCAUGGCCCAGUCAACAGAAGUACUCAGCUAAUACAUAGAUUUCUGAGGAGUCAAAAUUACUAAUUGUUUUAAGCCAUUGAGUUGUGUUGUUGAAACCUAUAUAUAUAGUGAUUACUAAAUGAUAUCCUUCUUGCAGCCUAUGUUAGGAUAGACACAAUGUCACUUCCAUCUUAAUACACUCCAAAGAAAGUAAAAAAAGUCAACCCUGGUAUGAGACCUGGUACAAUUAGUUAAAUACUUAACAGAAAGAAAUGCAAAGUCACACUGCAGGUACAGAGAAACAUAGAAAAUUAGAAAAUGUUUCUAAUCAAUUUACUACAGCUUAGUAUGUCCCACCCUUCCUCUGUAAUCUCUCUCUCCUGUCCCUCCCUCCCUUCCCUUAUUUCUUUCAUCUCUCAGUGUGUGUUUUUAUAUGUAUGUGAGUGUGUGUGUGUGUGUGUGUAUGACAAUGAGAGAGAGAGAGACAGUAGAGGGAGAGAGAGAGAUGGGGGAUGAGACUUCACUUUGCAUUUUGCACAAAUACACUUUGUAUUUAGUGUUUCAAGGAAACAUUCACCCUCUUAAUUAUAUUCAUCUACAGAGCCACCUGUUGAAGUGCGUUUUUUUUUUUUUUUUUUUUUUUUUGGUGUUUUUGAUGUCAUCCUUUUUAUGGAAAUAAAAUGAAGUGAUAACUGAGGACAGUUUUCUGAAACAAUACUGCUAUGUUGUUAUUUUUAAACUCGCUGUUGCUUUUACUCCUUAAGACUUCAGCUCUGCCAGGGACUUUGCUCAUUCCAUUAGAUAAAUAUCAUAUGGAUUUGAGUUUUGGAGAAAGACUUAAUUUGGCAGACCUAAUGGUACAGGAAAAAUUAAAGAUGGACCACCUGCCUCUCUGGGCUCUAGGGUUAAUUACAACACAUUUGGCAUUAUAGAGGAAUUUCACUGGGUAACGGUAUAGGUAGUCUUUUUUUGGAGGAUGUUCUUAUAAAAGUAUGUAUUUUAGAUUUCCUGCUGUGGUGCAGUGGGUUAAUGAUAUGCUUUGUCUCUGUGACAUUGCUAGUUUGAUCCCCAGUCCAGGUGUGGGCUAAGGAUCUGGUGGCCCAAGAACAGGGAACUUCCAUAUGGCAUGGGUAUAGCCAGAAAAAGUAUGUAUUGUUAAUAUUUUUUUAAAGGAGAUGUUUUCAUAAAGAAGUUGUCUUCCUAUUAGUCUUUCCAGUUUCUCUCUCUCUUUCUCUGUCACGCGCACACACAAAGUAAAUUUCAGUUUUCAUUUUUUACUUUCAUUUGGAUUUGUGACUUGUCAUUUUUGGCAAAGACAUCGAAUUUAAAGCAGCAUGUCAGCAUACUUCUUUCUGGGACAUGCACUGGACAUAUUAGAGGAUAAGUGAUAAGAAAUCCUUCUGUGGGCAAUCACAGUAGCAGAGUGUAGAGGCUCCUGAUUUUCAUGCAGAGUGUAGCACUUUGCUGUGAUCUCAGAACACCACAGUCAUCACACUGUUAAUUAUUUAUUCAAUAACUCUGCUCUUCUAAGCAUUACUUUAAGUGCUAAACGCACACAGCAUAUGUGACACAUGAUUCAGAUAGAUUAGGAAAAUUACAUAUAUUGAGGUCCUGUUAUGUGUAGGGUAUUUGAUGUGCAUUAUUUGAUCUUUGAGAUAAAUUUUAUUAUGUCAGUAGGUGAAGAACUCAGGUUAGAGAACUUAAGUAAACGGCUGAAGAUUGCACAGAUGAAAAUCAGCAGAGCCAAGAUUCUAAUAAUGGAAUACUUAUCUAUACAGCGGGACCUCUACAUUUUAUCACAUGGUUUCUAAAAGGUUUUAGGGACCAGUUAGAAACACAACACAUGCAUAGACAGUAGUGAUGUAGAGAUAAUGGCAUACGCUGGAAUUUCUUUUAGGGAGAAGAAAGUAUUAUUUAGUAGAAAUGCUUGACAAAAUCCUAAGGAUUGUGUAUAGUUAGGGAAAAAAGUUUUUUGUAAACAAAAAUAUUGGAAAAUAAUCAUUUUGUUCCUGGGAGAUAGAGUGGAGGCAAAUUAUUUGGAGGAAAAAGAAGAAAAACAAUAAGGAAAAGCUUAUAUUAUUUAAGUUCAGCCAUUGAGGAUUAUAAGGCUACUCUUAGCAGUGGGAUUGGAGGAUCAAGAGAGUUGAUGGUCAUUCAUGAUUCAGGAAACAAAUGGGGCAAAGGAACAACACUGCAAGAUUUUCAGAGCAAGUAGAUAUAGGGCCAGACUUAGUCAGGUAGAUGCAUGGGUGGCUUAUAACUAGGAGCUCCUUUAAGCUGGCAUUGUUUGUUUGUGUUCUUAUUUAUGUAUUCAUUUAUAGAUACAUAUUUAUAUUUACUAUUUAGAAAGUUGUGGGUUUUCACUAGUUGUAGUAACAAUCAAGAAUAAGGACUCCCUGGAGUCCUUGUUGCUGCUGUGGCAUGGGUUUGAUCCCUGAUUUGGAAAUUUCCACAUGCUG
rnacentral:lncRNA from 1 species